UUAUCCACAGAAGAGGCCCACCAAUGGCAGAGGCAGUGCAAGCUUCCCCAUGCUGGGCCAUCAAUGUGCCUUGCUGACCUGGAAGAGAUUUAUUCCAAGCAAUAA
rnacentral:sRNA from 1 species